rnacentral:rRNA from 1 species
AGAGUGAACGCUGGCGGUAGGCCUAACACAUGCAAGUCGAACGGCAGCACAGUAGGAGCUUGCUCUUACGGGUGGCGAGUGGCGGACGGGUGAGGAAUACAUCGGAAUCUACCUUUUGGUGGGGGAUAACGUAGGGAAACUUACGCUAAUACCGCAUACGCCCUUCGGGGGAAAGCCGGGACCAGCAAUGGCCUGGCGCUGAUAGAUGAGCCGAUGUCGGAUUAGCUAGUUGGUGAGGUAAUGGCUCACCAAGGCGACGAUCCGUAGCUGGUCUGAGAGGAUGAUCAGCCAACACUGGAACUGAGACACGGUCCAGACUCCGU